AUUUUUGUCGCCAUACGCUCUUGUCGUAGUCGUUCGUGCAUUGGCUUAAGUUGGUUAAUUUAAAUCCUAAUUUUAAUUUCAUUUCAAUAAAACUUUUGAACAAGCAACGCAACGGUAAUAGUUUCCUAAAUUUUGGGGGUGUGGAAAUCAAUUAAAAGAAAUAAAGAAAGAACUAUGACAUUGAGCUAGUUCCUGAUUGGAAAAGUGGUUACAUCGAAUUUUGCGAAAAAAGUUCAAUUUUUUUUUUGUUUACACCAUUUUCUCCCUUAAGGGGGUGUCUAAUUGUUUUUGUGUGUUUGGCUGUGCCUCUGUUGUUUGCGGUGACAAUUCUUUGACAUUCUACCAAUUACACGCUUCUGCGGCGUGUAAAUGUACAGAGACGGGAAAAAGCUGAUUCAACGCAAAGAACGUAUGCAAAUUUUAGCAAGGAAGAUGGACGAGGUCUUUUCGCUGCAUACGGAAAAACUAGAUUUGUUCGAUGUUCUCCUUUUGGCCGGCAUUCUUUCGCUUAUAAUACUUUUGGUUCUGUAACCGAGAAAACAUUUAAUUUAUUUUCUAAGUUUAUUUUACAAAAACACAAAUUGCAGCCAAAUAAGAAAAUUUUUAGAUGGAAAAUACAAAAAUUGUAAUUGGAGUAAACCACUUACACGGAAUAAAAUGCAAAAUUCGUGGUGAAAUAACUAGAAAUGUCAAACUGGCCAGCAGCUGUCAAAAGUGACACAAUUUUGGAGCUUUUUUCUUACUGAAAAGAAAAAGCUUUUUCUUCGAAAGCAUAUCUUUGUGGAGUGUGUUCAGUGACCAUGAUACGCUACUAAUGAUAGUGGUGUUGCCAUACUAUGAGAAUGAACGACCGUACGUUUGAAGAGGAAAUUUCCAUAUCUACUAUUAUUAUCUGUUGCAAUUUGUGAUAUAUGCUCAAUAAAUUAUAAUAAUUUCUUCUUUCACAAAAGACGAUAUUACAAACAAAAUGUAUAAUCAAAAUAUUAUAAAAAAAAAUAAUAUUGUAAAAUAUAACUAAUUAUCGUUUGUAAAACAAAACAAAAAUUAUCAGUAUCCGUUGUAAGAAAAAAAUAACUAUUAUUAUGACAAGACUGAUUGGUAAUUUUAAAUUGACGUUAAUAUUGUAAUUAUAAAUUGCAAUGUAUAAGAACUAUAUUCAUAGACUAUAUAAAUAAAUAUUUAAUAAAAAGUAA